UACGGGAGGCAGCAGUGGGGGAUAUUGCACAAUGGGGGGAACCCUGAUGCAGCGACGCCGCGUGGGUGAAGAAGCGCCUCGGCGCGUAAAGCCCUGUCAGCAGGGAAGAAAAUGACGGUACCUGAAGAAGAAGCCCCGGCUAACUACGUGCCAGCAGCCGCGGUAAUACGUAGGGGGCAAGCGUUAUCCGGAUUUACUGGGUGUAAAGGGGGCGCAGACGGCGAUGCAAGCCAGGAGUGAAGGCCCGGGGCCCAACCCCGGGACUGCUCUUGGAACUGCGUGGCUGGAGUGCAGGAGGGGCAGGG
rnacentral:rRNA from 1 species